rnacentral:miRNA from 1 species
GGGUCGGUGGUCCUUGGGCAGGGGUCUCUGAUCCCGGACGAGCCCCCAAAUGAAAGACCCCCGAAAUGGGUGUCCCUU